UCGCUUAAAAUGACGUCACCCCUGCUGCUCUUGCACCCCACCUUGGGAUAGUCGGUUAGGGAGCACGAGGAGCUCGGGGCGCAGGUAGGAGGAGGGGGCGAGAGGUGAGGGGUGGGAGGGGGCGCGUCGGCGGCGGAGAGGGGACGGGAGGAGUAGAUCUCGGGAAGGGUCGGCUGCCUCCUCGGGGGAAGGGUCGGGACGCAGCCUCAAGUCUCCGUCCCCUCCACACCUAGCUACUACCACGUCGUUUCUUCUCCUACACUCUAGCUCCUCCCUCGCUCGGCAACGUCUCCUCUACCCUCUUCCCCCACGCGCCACCACUCCGUAGCCGUGGCCUCUUCGUCUAGGCACCACGCGCCACUUCGCCCUAUGCACUGCGGCCGGCCGCGAGCGCCCAUGCAGGACGUCCUACUGCGGCGUCGAGGUCAGAAGAGGAGUGCCACCAGGUACCGCGAUAGUGACAGCAGGAGUCGUCCUCCUGGCGCCCUGCGUCUCCGCCGGCCGAGGUAGGACGAGAACACGACGGCAUGGAGACGGAAAGAGCAGGCGGCGCGGGGUCCGAUCAUCCACCUGCCGCGCCUCUCAAGAACAGUGUUCUGCGUCCUCCUACCGAGAGCGGCUGCGGUGCGAGACGAGGAGAGCGGAGACGGCGUGAGACGAGGCCGAACGGUGGCUUUUCCGACACGAAAGCCAGGUUCCUCGGCUACCCAGCGGCCUAGGCAGCCGGUGGGUACCUGAAGCGGACCUUGCGCCCGACCCUCCGCCGCGACGGUCGGACGUUGCGGUUGGGGCUAGGGCUGGUUGGGCCGCGGCGUCCCCCACCUCCGCCUCAGGUACUACGACCAGAGGCCCGGCGCGCAGCGGCAGAGGCCCGACUCCGCUCGGCUGACGACGCGUCACGGACGAGAGUACUUCUACUUACACAGGACAAGCAGUUACGGCCACCCAUAUAAACUUUUUUGACGUUUCCUUCGUCUUCUGUUACACGAGGACUCUCUCUACGUGUUAUAAGUUAUGGGAAUACAGGGCGUGUUACGUGGCGUGUUCCAGGAACGAGGGAAGGAACGACGUCACUCCUCUGCUCUCUCCUCUAACGACCUAGACCUUUACCUCCAGUCGUGGUGGAUGUCCUGUUCUCACGACGAGGAGAGGCUGAGAAGUUCCAGAGAGUACGAGACGAGAACGAGUCCGACUUAAUCUUCCAAUCCACACUGUUUUUUUGACUUUGAAUAGAGGAUUAUAGGGAGGUAAAAACGUUUUAGUUUAAACACAGUCGAUAUACUGGGUACUAGUAUGUGAACAAAGUUUAUUAGUAUGCGAAUAGUUAAAGGUGCCUGUCCAAUUACCACAUAUGGACGAAGACUCGACGGUACGUUUCUGAGACAAUAGAGAACUUAAAUAGGUGACGGUUGAAAUAGGACGUCCGUACCUAUUUCAAACGUAAUCAGAAACGGUCGGUCGAUCGUAAUUUUCGACCACACAAAAUACUGUCUCACUGUUUAUACUGAUAAACCCCUUUGGUAAGUUGUUGAGUCCAAGGAUUAAAGAACUUACGGUUUUAAUUACCCUCCGGUCAUUUUCUUCAGUAGUUUCUAUGUUUCACCGAUCUUCUCCUAAAAGGAUGUUGACAAGUUUUCCAUGUGCCUCUUCCAACACCACGGCCGCUCCGACAACGAGGGCCACAGUCUCUCCCAUAGCGACUGGCUACGGCGGCCGAACGGGUUCCACAGGACGUGCAGAAGUACUGGUCGGUAGAGGGGUCCAAAUAACCAAGUCUAUCUAUGUCAUAUAUACCAUGUUUCUACAAAAGGCUUUCGUUGAGACAAUACGGCGAGAUCUUUCGGUUUCUCUUUGAUUGACGAACGCUGCAAAUUCCACACCUGUAUACGUCUUUGAUGUUUUGGAAACAUCGUGCAUAGCUUCUUCUUUGAUUACCUUUACCAUAAUAGGACGGUAGGAGAACACUGCGAACUACGGGACUACGUUUUCAUUUUAUUUUAAUAAAGCGAAAUGGUUCAAUAUGGGCAGUUAAAGUAUAUGUAAGAUUGACAUUAUACACCUUAUCGAGAUGGUUUGGAACAACAGUAAGACAUGUUGCAUCCGUAUAGAAUAGAGGUUCCGUUAGACCUAUCGAAUCGUCAACUACCAUCUGAAAAGUAGCAACCAAAGUACACUCCGUGACAUUAACUUCACUUGGACGUCCGCUACGAACGGGCUUCUGGCUGACAUGUUCGUAGAGCGUGUUACAUAAGUCUCUCUACGACGGUGAACACUAUGUAGAUACACUUCGGUCUAGGUCUUACUCAGCUGUCUCAACCCUCAUCGCUAUGUUGUAGACCCCCGAUACGAAAAACUCGAACCUGCCUGUUACUACUGCGAAUCUUACCCCGGUAGAGGACGAUUACGAAAACAUUUACGACCCGUACGACAAAUAUGUUUGGGGUGACUUGGUUCAGGUUAGUAUCAAGUCUUAUGGACAUAUCGAAACGAAAGGAUAGUACUUGACGACUGUUGAAACAAAACCCGAUAGUACGAUCGUACGUGACAUUGUAUAUAGUGACACAUAAUUGUACGAUGGAUUCAUAGAUAAAGAAAUAUGAAAUAAUAGUCAGGAAUUUGUUUAAAAUGCACGUACUAAACUUACGAACCAAACGACAGCGGGAAACAUGGUAGCCGCGUUGCUCACUAAUCGACGAAAAAUACACACUCUUACAAUCCUUACAAAGAUAUACACGGGUCUAAAUAAACCACACGGACGAUACAAAGUGAAAGUGACGAGAAACAACUUAUUUAACUAUUUAAGAACUAAGAAAAAUACAAUAAAGAAAUGUACUUCCUAGGUCUAAUUUUAUAUUAUACAAUAAGAACGACCGAAUCAAAUUUGUUUACGUAAAAUCUAGUGGAUGAAGAGUCAAGUACUAAAAACUGAGCCACACAACGUCAACUAAUGGCCUUGUGCGAGUGGGUUUCACAGCUAGACGUAGGUAUGUAUUAAAUGAUUUUCUUUAAAAAACUCAACAAAGACGUAUACGGAAAACCAUAAAUGAUCCAGUGGAAGUUCUAAGCGAUUGAUUGUAUGUAUAGGAUAGAUGCGAAAAGUGUAGGUAUAUUACUACGGUACAAAAAGGAAAACUCAUCUGCUAAGAAAUAAAUAAUUGGAUAUGUAGUUAUACAACAAAGGUAACUAGAGUAUCAUGAAAAACACACAAAGAAAUACAACCCGACUUUUGAAUAACAGCCAAGUUCGAUAAAAAAUUCAGUACAUAUGAUACCUUCAACACAUUUUCUUGUAAAUGAUUUUACAAUACAUUUUGGAUACCGAGUUUCGAUUCGAAGCCAUUUAACCUUAUAAAUAUCUAUAUAAACCCUCAAAGUAAUCUAAUUAAACCUUAAAGUUUGAUUAGGUAAAUUAAUAAACUCUCGUGGUCGUUGUGUUAAAAACUUUUUUUUUGUACGGGUGGUUUGCUUCCCGUACCCAUACAACAGGUACAUACGUUUAGAGAUCCUUACUCUUUGGGAGUUCUUGAUGAUCCUUCCUCUUUCGGGAGGUGCAGAGGGUCGGACUGAUACGGAGGC
rnacentral:rRNA from 1 species